GCGUGGGUGAUGAAGGCCCUAGGGUUGUAAAGCCCUUUCGGCGGGGAAGAUAAUGACGGUACCCGCAGAAGAAGCCCCGGCUAACUUCGUGCCAGCAGCCGCGGUAAUACGAAGGGGGCUAGCGUUGCUCGGAAUCACUGGGCGUAAAGCGCACGUAGGCGGAUCUUUAAGUCAGGGGUGAAAUCCCGGAGCUCAACUCCGGAACUGCCUUUGAUACUGGGGAUCUUGAGUCCGGGAGAGGUGAGUGGAACUCCGAGUGUAGAGGUGAAAUUCGU
rnacentral:rRNA from 1 species